UGGGGAAUAUUGGACAAUGGGGGCAACCCUGAUCCAGCAAUACCGCGUGUGUGAAGAAGGCCUGAGGGUUGUAAAGCACUUUUGUUGGGAAAGAAAUCUUUCAUGCUAAUAUCAUGGAGGCUUGACGUUACCCAAAGAAAAAGCACCGGCUAACUCUGUGCCAGCAGCCGCGGUAAUACAGAGGGUGCAAGCGUUAAUCGGAAUUACUGGGCGUAAAGAGCACGUAGGCGGUCGUGUAAGUCAGAUGUGAAAUCCCCGGGCUUAACCUGGGAACUGCAUUUGAUACUGCAUGACUAGAGUAGAGUAGAGGAAAGCGGAAUUUCCGGUGUAGCGGUGAAAUGCGUAGAGAUCGGAAGGAACACCAGUGGCGAAGGCGGCUUUCUGGAUUCAUACUGACGCUGAGGUGCGAAAGCGUGGGGAGCAAACAGGAUUAGAUACCCCCGUAGUCC
rnacentral:rRNA from 1 species